rnacentral:tRNA from 1 species
GCCCAGGUGGUGGAACUGGUAUACACGUACGCUUGAGGUGCGUAUGCCUUACGGCUUAGGGGUUCGAGUCCCCUCUUGGGCA